rnacentral:rRNA from 1 species
AUAAGCGCCGGUAAGGUGAUAUGAACCGUUAUAACCGGCGAUACCCGAAUGGGGAAACCCAGUGUGAUUCGUCACACUAUCAUUAACUGAAUCCAUAGGUUAAUGAGGCGAACCGGGGGAACUGAAACAUCUAAGUACCCCGAGGAAAAGAAAUCAACCGAGAUUCCCCCAGUAGCGGCGAGCGAACGGGGAGGAGCCCAGAGCCUGAAUCAGCAUGUGUGUUAGUGGAAGCGUCUGGAAAGGCGCGCGAUACAGGGUGACAGCCCCGUACACAAAAGCGCAUGUGCUGUGAGCUCGAUGAGUAGGGCGGGACACGUGGUAUCCUGUCUGAAUAUGGGGGGACCAUCCUCCAAGGCUAAAUACUCCUGACUGACCGAUAGUGAACCAGUACCGUGAGGGAAAGGCGAAAAGAACCCCGGCGAGGGGAGUGAAAAAGAACCUGAAACCGUGUACGUACAAGCAGUGGGAGCACCCUUUGGGUGUGACUGCGUACCUUUUGUAUAAUGGGUCAGCG